ensembl:miRNA
ACCUGGCAUACAAUGUAGAUUUCUGUGUUCAUUAGGCAACAGCUACAUUGUCUGCUGGGUUUC